GACGAACGCUGGCGGCGUGCUUAACACAUGCAAGUCGAACGGAAAGGCCCUGCUUUUGUGGGGUGCUCGAGUGGCGAACGGGUGAGUAACACGUGAGUAACCUGCCCUUGACUUUGGGAUAACUUCAGGAAACUGGGGCUAAUACCGGAUAGGAGCUCCUGCUGCAUGGUGGGGGUUGGAAAGUUUCGGCGGUUGGGGAUGGACUCGCGGCUUAUCAGCUUGUUGGUUGGGGAGGGGCUUACCAAGGCUUUGACGGGUAGCCGGCCUGAGAGGGUGACCGGCCACCUUGCGACUGAGAUAGGCACCAGACUCCUACGGGAGGCAGCAGUGGCAAAUAUUGCACAAUGGGCGGAAGCCUGAUGCAGAAACGCCGCGUGCGGGAUGACGGCCUUCGGGUUGUAAACCGCUUUCGCCUGUGACGAAGCGUGAGUGACGGUAAUGGGUAAAGAAGCACCGGCUAACUACGUG
rnacentral:rRNA from 1 species